UACGGAGGGUGCGAGCGUUGUCCGGAAUCACUGGGCGUAAAGGGCGCGUAGGCGGCGCGGGCAGUCAACGGUGAAAGCUUGGGGCUCAACCCCGAGUCGGCCGUCGAUACUCCCGUGCUUGAGCACUGUAGAGGCAGGUGGAAUUCCGGGUGUAGCGGUGGAAUGCGUAGAUAUCUGGAGGAACACCGAUGGCGAAGGCAAUCCCCUGGGCCUGCACUGACGCUCAUGCACGAAAGCGUGGGGAGCAAACAGG
rnacentral:rRNA from 1 species